rnacentral:rRNA from 1 species
AAAUUGAAGAGUUUGAUCAUGGCUCAGAUUGAACGCUGGCGGCAGGCCUAACACAUGCAAGUCGAACGGUAACAGGAAGCAGCUUGCUGCUUCGCUGACGAGUGGCGGACGGGUGAGUAAUGUCUGGGAAACUGCCUGAUGGAGGGGGAUAACUACUGGAAACGGUGGCUAAUACCGCAUAACGUCGCAAGACCAAAGAGGGGGACCUUCGGGCCUCUUGCCAUCAGAUGUGCCCAGAUGGGAUUAGCUUGUUGGUGAGGUAACGGCUCACCAAGGCGACGAUCCCUAGCUGGUCUGAGGGAUGACCAGCCACACUGGAACUGAGACACGGUCCAGACUCCUACGGG